rnacentral:rRNA from 1 species
UACGGAGGGUGCAAACGUUGCUCGGAAUCAUUGGGCGUAAAGCGCACGUAGGCGGCCUGUUAAGUCGGGUGUGAAAUCCCUGGGCUCAACCCAGGAAGUGCACUCGAAACUGGCGGGCUUGAGUACUGAAGAGGAUCGCGGAAUUCCCGGUGUAGAGGUGAAAUUCGUAGAUAUCGGGAGGAACACCAGUGGCGAAGGCGGCGAUCUGGGCAGAUACUGACGCUGAGGUGCGAAAGCGUGGGGAGCAAACAGG